GAUGAACGCUGGCGGCGUGCUUAACACAUGCAAGUCGAACGGAAAGGCUCCUGCUUGCCGGGUUACUCGAGUGGCGAACGGGUGAGUAACACGUGGGUGAUCUGCCCUGCACUUCGGGAUAAGCCUGGGAAACUGGGUCUAUUACCGGAUAGGACGAUGGUUUGGAUGCCAUUGUGGAAAGUUUUUCGGUGUGGGAUGAGCUCGAGGCAUAUCAGCUUGUUGGUGGGGUAGUGGCCUACCAAGGCGUGGACGGGUAGCCGGACUGGGAGGGUGUACGGCCACAGUGGGACAGGGAUGGGGGCCAGACGCAUACGGGAGGCAGCGGUGGAGAAGAGUGCACAAAGGGCGGAAGCAUGGUGGAGGGACGCCGCGUGGGGGAUGACGGCCAUCGGGGUGGAAACUCCUUGCGCGAGGGACGAAGCGCAAGUGAGGGUACCUGGAGAAGAAGCACCGGCUAACUACGU
rnacentral:rRNA from 1 species